UACGGAGGAUGCGAGCGUUAUCCGGAUUUAUUGGGUUUAAAGGGUGCGUAGGCGGCCGAGUAAGUCAGCGGUGAAAUUUUGCAGCUUAACUGUAACAGUGCCGUUGAUACUGCAUGGCUAGGAUUUGGUUGCUGUGGGUGGAAUGUGUGGUGUAGCGGUGAAAUGCUUAGAUAUCACACAGAAUAUCAAUUGCGAAGGCAGCUCACAAAGCUAAGAUUGACGCUGAGGCACGAAAGUGUGGGGAUCAAA
rnacentral:rRNA from 1 species